GGAUCUGCCUUCAGGAGGGGGAUAACGACUAGAAAUGGUCGCUAAUACCCCAUAUGCCUACGGGUGAAAGGAAUUUUGCCUGAAGAUGAGCUCGCGUCAGAUUAGCUAGUUGGUGGGGUAACGGCCUACCAAGGCGACGAUCUGUAGCUGGUCUGAGAGGAUGAUCAGCCACACUGGGACUGAGACACGGCCCAGACUCCUACGGGAGGCAGCAGUGGGGAAUUUUCCGCAAUGGGCGAAAGCCUGACGGAGCAAGACCGCGUGGGGGAUGAAUGCCUAAUGGUUGUAAACCCCUUUUAUUCGGGAAGAUGAUGACGGUACCGAAUGAAUCAGCCUCGGCUAACUCCGUGCCAGCAGCCGCGGUAAUACGGAGGAGGCAAGCGUUAUCCGGAAUUAUUGGGCGUAAAGCGUCCGUAGGUGGCUAGACAAGUCAGCUGUUAAAGAGUGGUGCUUAACACCAUGCAGGCGGUUGAAACUGUUGAGCUAGAGUUUGGUAGGGGUUACGGGAAUUCCCAGUGUAGCGGUGAAAUGCGUAGAUAUUGGGAAGAACACCGGUGGCGAAAGCGCGUAACUGGACCUGAACU
rnacentral:rRNA from 1 species